UCCUACGGGGCGCAGCAGUCGGGAAUAUUGCGCAAUGGAAGAAACUCUGACGCAGUGACGCCGCGUGCAGGAAGAAGGUUUUCAGAUUGUAAACUGCUUUAGACAGGGAAGAAAGAAAUGACGGUACCUGUAGAAUAAGCUCCGGCUAACUACGUGCCAGCAGCCGCGGUAAUACGUAGGGAGCAAGCGUUAUCCGGAUUUAUUGGGUUUAAAGGGUGCGCAGGCGGAAUGUCAAGUCAGCGGUAAAAUUUCGGGGCUCAACCCCGUCGUGCCGUUGAAACUGGCGUUCUUGAGUGAGCGAGAAG
rnacentral:rRNA from 1 species